UAUUCAUCCUCCAAGACACGUAAAAAGUAAAAUCUUCACAAAAUGUCACGAAAAUGUCCAUUUUUCUCCGAUUCUGCGCGACGACAGCUCCUUCGAGGUUCACCAGCGAGUGACGCAGAAUCUGGAAGGGAAAAAAACUCAAUUUCGGGCUCGGAAGAUACAGGAGAUGAUACCCGGGUUAUGAACAUCAGCUGACCAGGACUAGGGAGAUGCGUGGCCAGCAUCCCUCUUCUUCCAUCUUGCCGCCGUGACACUGUGCCAGGUGCCUCCCGACAAGUGGGGUAAGGCGGAGCUCAUGACAAUCCUCAGGGUUUUCAAGGAUUUUUGCGCUCCCUGGCUGGCUUCAAAAACACGUAGAAGCAAGAGCAGCACUUCUCGGAGACAGCGGCUUCUUGUAUCAGCGUAGAAUCCAAAGUUCUGAAUCGUGAUCCUGAAGGUGAGCGGAUUAGUGAAGGUCCAUCUCAAAAGUGUCAACCUGUUGCAAUGGUGACCAGUAUGACCCAGCAAUGAAUUUCCUGGCCUCGGUGUCUGAUAGGUGCCUGCUGUCAUUACUUACUGAGAGUCCUGUGCAAUGAAGCUUUGCCCCUCCAAGCUAGUACUCUGGCUUAACCCAUUGCCUGUGGGAGAAAAUGAGAUUGACUUGGCCAGGUAGUCUACGUGGCUGAGUAAGCUUGUCUUCAGGCCUUUUUCAGACACAGACAGUGAGUAACAGUCGCUGUGAUGCACCGACAAAGUGAUUAAUGUUUUUGGAUACUCAGAGAUGAGUGAUAUCCAUUUUACUUUCUAGAUUGAACCUGUAGUAGCCUAAUUAUGUACAUUAGAUCCCAUUUCAAUAAAUAAGAUGUUGCAGUCUGUGUACAAGAUUGAGUGUGGUUUUACUGAAGAAUAAGAAAAUAUUAAAAAUCACUUCUUUUCACAAAUUUUAUUUUUAUGAAAUAUGAGAUUGUACACAGUGGUAUACAUGGCUAGUGGCCCCAUGGCUUCAGUACUUGCCUUAUUUGUGUCACACUGGCAGAGCACCAAUGUGAGUAGACGACAAUAGCAGUGAACAAGAGUGAAGGUUACUUACAGGUUCACAUCAGCAGCAAGAGAGCAUCAUGUUUUAGUGUGCGGCAUCUUCCACACAUGGCAGGCUGAUGAUUUAUGUCCUAAAAUUCACUCUUUAUACAAAAUAAUAGCCAGCCGUAGAGUUACACAUCCCAUUCUUGAUCAGGCAAUGCCCCGGAGCAUUUGGUGUGAGCAUGAGGGUUCCAUAUAAAGAACAGCAUAAAAUGUAAUGCACAGAUCACCGUAACAUGAAGUGAAUGGACCCACUCCAAGACGGCCAUGACAUGAAUAACGCAUCUCCCAGUGCCACGGCCAAGUCAGCCAUGACAUGAAUCUCACAUCAUCUGAAGGCUUUGAGUUAAGGGAAGAAGUUGGCGAGGACACCGAGGAGAACCUAGACCGUUCUGGCAUCAACUGGGCCGACUCCAUUGGCUUUUUCCUUUUUUUUGUCUCAUCUCUUCACUCCUGUUCUGUUCUCUCGAGCUCUGAGUAUUUCUUCUUCUUUUUUCAUCUUCUUCCCUUUCUUGUUUUUGUAUUUGUUGGUUGUACAAAAAAGUAUUGGAUGUUUAUAUUGUGGCUGGGAAGUAUUACUAUGUUGAAAAAGGGGAGAGACAGGUUGAUUUGUUAAUUUUUUUGUUUUAUCUUUCUUUACUCCAAAAUAAUAAUUUUUUUUUUCUUUUCCAGGGGAGGACGAAGUAACGUGAUCCAAAUGUCAAGAUGCAAUGAUGAAGAUUUUGAAUUUGUUGUCAUUUGUUACCAUUCAUAGCUAUUGGAGAUUAUUACUGAAACUGUAAAACCUACAUACACAAAAAAGUAUAUUUUGUUAGUUGUAAAUAGGUCUUUUUUUCCUCUUUUUAGUAAUGAGUUGAUAUUUGUUGAAUUUUACAGUGAAAUACAAGAAAUUAAUGUG